rnacentral:rRNA from 1 species
UACGUAGGGUGCAAGCGUUGUCCGUAAUUAUUGGGCGUAAAGAGCUCGUAGGCGGUUUGUCGCGUCUGCUGUGAAAACCCGAGGCUCAACCUCGGGCCUGCAGUGGGUACGGGCAGACUAGAGUGCGGUAGGGGAGAUUGGAAUUCCUGGUGUAGCGGUGGAAUGCGCAGAUAUCAGGAGGAACACCAAUGGCGAAGGCGGAUCGCUGGGCCGUAACUGACGCUGAGGAGCGAAAGCAUGGGGAGCAAACAGG